UAGGGAAUCUUCGGCAAUGGGGGCAACCCUGACCGAGCAACGCCGCGUGAGUGAAGAAGGUUUUCGGAUCGUAAAGCUCUGUUGUAAGAGAAGAACGUGUGUGAGAGUGGAAAGUUCACACAGUGACGGUAACUUACCAGAAAGGGACGGCUAACUACGUGCCAGCAGCCGCGGUAAUACGUAGGUCCCGAGCGUUGUCCGGAGUUAUUGGGCGUAAAGCGAGCGCAGGCGGUUUAAUAAGUCUGAAGUUAAAGGCAGUGGCUUAACCAUUGUUCGCUUUGGAAACUGUUAAACUUGAGUGCAGAAGGGGAGAGUGGAAUUCCAUGUGUAGCGGUGAAAUGCGUAAAUAUAUGGAUGGACACCGGUGGCGAAAGCGGCUCUCUGGUCUGUAACUGACGCUGAGGCUCGAAAGCGUGGGGAUCAAACAGG
rnacentral:rRNA from 1 species